rnacentral:siRNA from 1 species
AGGUAACUCAAGAUUGAGGUUGAU